UACGGAGGGUGCAAGCGUUGUUCGGAAUUACUGGGCGUAAAGCGCGCGUAGGCGGCUUUGCAAGUCGAGUGUGAAAUCCCCAGGCUUAACCUGGGAACUGCAUUCGAGACUGCAUGGCUAGAGUAUGGGAGAGGGAAGUGGAAUUUCAGGUGUAGCGGUGAAAUGCGUAGAUAUGCGGAGGAACACCGAUGGCGAAGGCAAUCCCCUGGGCCUGCACUGACGCUCAUGCACGAAAGCGUGGGGAGCAAACAGG
rnacentral:rRNA from 1 species